ACUAACACAAUAUGUGGAAGUAGUAGUUUUGACUCGUUUUUUACAGAAAGGUGACCCACGGCUGAGAGGUCUCCAUCAACGACCAAAGGGAAGUAGUCCACAUCGUUGCUUUUCUGAAAUUGUAGUAGGGAAAGUCGGUUGCAGCCGUUAUCUGUAUUAAAGAGUGUAUGGAACAUUAAAUGAUAGCAUUAGUAUAUCUAUUUCAUACGAAUAAAGGUGGUACCGCGAGCUCCUCGUCCUUUAA
rnacentral:ncRNA from 1 species